rnacentral:rRNA from 1 species
UACGGGGGGAGCAAGCGUUGUUCGGAUUUACUGGGCGUAAAGGGCGCGUAGGCGGCCAGCACAAGUCAGUUGUGAAAUCUCCGAGCUUAACUCGGAACGGUCAACUGAUACUGUGCGGCUAGAGUGCGGAAGGGGCAACUGGAAUUCUCGGUGUAGCGGUGAAAUGCGUAGAUAUCGAGAGGAACACCGGUGGCGAAGGCGGCAUCCUGGACCAACACUGACGCUGAGGAGCGAAAGCCAGGGGAGCAAACGGG